UUCUCGCAUUUGUGUCUGGAAGUAGCUACCAAAGUAGCCAACGUUCGACAGUUAGCUUGGGUGCGGUUGUGUGGUCGGAACGCUCGGACCAACCCUACUCCGUUAGAGCAUCUACUGUGUGAAAAAGUCAAGGGGUAGUGAGGUUCGCAUCCUUGGAUUACUCUCCGGGACCUUACCGUGAACACUAUGAAGACUACCCGAGGAGUUUCGACCUCCAGACAUUCCACGCCCUGGACGUUCUACGCCAGACCACCAGCGCCUCUCAAUGUGCCACUGAGACGGCUUACCAAGAGGAGUUUGGCCUGCAGUCCCACCUCAACCCUCCGGAUAACACUAAGUUUACCCUGUACUCUCACCCUGAGCCUAUGCAACAGUUGGAGACAGGGAGUGAAGAGGAACAUUUUACAACACCAUGGCAAUCAAACUGAACUCCAUCCAUGAAAAGUAACCAAUGAAAAUGGUGCAUUGAAUGUAUUUUUGUUUGAAUGACAGGUUGUAAAAUCUUGCAUUGCAAUCAUAUAUAUGACUCUAGAAGCAUUUCAUCUCAAGUAACGCUAAUAUAUAAUGUGUUUAUUAUAUAUAUACAGUACCAGUCAAAAGUUUGGACACAUCUACUCAUUCAAGGGUUUCUCUUUAUUUGGACUAUUUUUGACAUUGGUGAAUAAUGGUGAAGACGUCACAACACAUGUGGAAUCACGAAGUAGCUAACAAAAGUGCCAAGAGUGUGCAAAGCUGUCAUCAAGGCAAAAGGGGCCAUUUGGUCCAUAUGUGCCAUUUCAAACUUUCGACUGGUACUGUAUAUUUCUAUGAAAGUCCAUUGGCACAAAAAGUGUAAUUACAUUAAAAAAUGUCAGCAAACACAA